UUAAGCGACUAAGCGUACACGGUGGAUGCCCUGGCAGUCAGAGGCGAUGAAGGACGUGCUAAUCUGCGAUAAGCGUCGGUAAGGUGAUAUGAACCGUUAUAACCGGCGAUUUCCGAAUGGGGAAACCCAGUGUGUUUCGACACACUAUCAUUAACUGAAUCCAUAGGUUAAUGAGGCGAACCGGGGGAACUGAAACAUCUAAGUACCCCGAGGAAAAGAAAUCAACCGAGAUUCCCCCAGUAGCGGCGAGCGAACGGGGAGGAGCCCAGAGCCUGAAUCAGUGUGUGUGUUAGUGGAAGCGUCUGGAAAGGCGCGCGAUACAGGGUGACAGCCCCGUACACAAAAAUGCACAUGCUGUGAGCUCGAUGAGUAGGGCGGGACACGUGGUAUCCUGUCUGAAUAUGGGGGGACCAUCCUCCAAGGCUAAAUACUCCUGACUGACCGAUAGUGAACCAGUACCGUGAGGGAAAGGCGAAAAGAACCCCGGCGAGGGGAGUGAAAAAGAACCUGAAACCGUGUACGUACAAGCAGUGGGAGCACGCUUAGGCGUGUGACUGCGUACCUUUUGUAUAAUGGGUCAGCGACUUAUAUUCUGUAGCAAGGUUAACCGAAUAGGGGAGCCGAAGGGAAACCGAGUCUUAACUGGGCGUUAAGUUGCAGGGUAUAGACCCGAAACCCGGUGAUCUAGCCAUGGGCAGGUUGAAGGUUGGGUAACACUAACUGGAGGACCGAACCGACUAAUGUUGAAAAAUUAGCGGAUGACUUGUGGCUGGGGGUGAAAGGCCAAUCAAACCGGGAGAUAGCUGGUUCUCCCCGAAAGCUAUUUAGGUAGCGCCUCGUGAAUUCAUCUCCGGGGGUAGAGCACUGUUUCGGCAAGGGGGUCAUCCCGACUUACCAACCCGAUGCAAACUGCGAAUACCGGAGAAUGUUAUCACGGGAGACACACGGCGGGUGCUAACGUCCGUCGUGAAGAGGGAAACAACCCAGACCGCCAGCUAAGGUCCCAAAGUCAUGGUUAAGUGGGAAACGAUGUGGGAAGGCCCAGACAGCCAGGAUGUUGGCUUAGAAGCAGCCAUCAUUUAAAGAAAGCGUAAUAGCUCACUGGUCGAGUCGGCCUGCGCGGAAGAUGUAACGGGGCUAAACCAUGCACCGAAGCUGCGGCAGCGACGCUUAUGCGUUGUUGGGUAGGGGAGCGUUCUGUAAGCCUGUGAAGGUGUGCUGUGAGGCAUGCUGGAGGUAUCAGAAGUGCGAAUGCUGACAUAAGUAACGAUAAAGCGGGUGAAAAGCCCGCUCGCCGGAAGACCAAGGGUUCCUGUCCAACGUUAAUCGGGGCAGGGUGAGUCGACCCCUAAGGCGAGGCCGAAAGGCGUAGUCGAUGGGAAACAGGUUAAUAUUCCUGUACUUGGUGUUACUGCGAAGGGGGGACGGAGAAGGCUAUGUUGGCCGGGCGACGGUUGUCCCGGUUUAAGCGUGUAGGCUGGUUUUCCAGGCAAAUCCGGAAAAUCAAGGCUGAGGCGUGAUGACGAGGCACUACGGUGCUGAAGCAACAAAUGCCCUGCUUCCAGGAAAAGCCUCUAAGCAUCAGGUAACAUCAAAUCGUACCCCAAACCGACACAGGUGGUCAGGUAGAGAAUACCAAGGCGCUUGAGAGAACUCGGGUGAAGGAACUAGGCAAAAUGGUGCCGUAACUUCGGGAGAAGGCACGCUGAUAUGUAGGUGAAGCGACUUGCUCGUGGAGCUGAAAUCAGUCGAAGAUACCAGCUGGCUGCAACUGUUUAUUAAAAACACAGCACUGUGCAAACACGAAAGUGGACGUAUACGGUGUGACGCCUGCCCGGUGCCGGAAGGUUAAUUGAUGGGGUUAGCGCAAGCGAAGCUCUUGAUCGAAGCCCCGGUAAACGGCGGCCGUAACUAUAACGGUCCUAAGGUAGCGAAAUUCCUUGUCGGGUAAGUUCCGACCUGCACGAAUGGCGUAAUGAUGGCCAGGCUGUCUCCACCCGAGACUCAGUGAAAUUGAACUCGCUGUGAAGAUGCAGUGUACCCGCGGCAAGACGGAAAGACCCCGUGAACCUUUACUAUAGCUUGACACUGAACAUUGAGCCUUGAUGUGUAGGAUAGGUGGGAGGCUUAGAAGUGUGGACGCCAGUCUGCAUGGAGCCGACCUUGAAAUACCACCCUUUAAUGUUUGAUGUUCUAACGUUGACCCGUAAUCCGGGUUGCGGACAGUGUCUGGUGGGUAGUUUGACUGGGGCGGUCUCCUCCUAAAGAGUAACGGAGGAGCACGAAGGUUGGCUAAUCCUGGUCGGACAUCAGGAGGUUAGUGCAAUGGCAUAAGCCAGCUUGACUGCGAGCGUGACGGCGCGAGCAGGUGCGAAAGCAGGUCAUAGUGAUCCGGUGGUUCUGAAUGGAAGGGCCAUCGCUCAACGGAUAAAAGGUACUCCGGGGAUAACAGGCUGAUACCGCCCAAGAGUUCAUAUCGACGGCGGUGUUUGGCACCUCGAUGUCGGCUCAUCACAUCCUGGGGCUGAAGUAGGUCCCAAGGGUAUGGCUGUUCGCCAUUUAAAGUGGUACGCGAGCUGGGUUUAGAACGUCGUGAGACAGUUCGGUCCCUAUCUGCCGUGGGCGCUGGAGAACUGAGGGGGGCUGCUCCUAGUACGAGAGGACCGGAGUGGACGCAUCACUGGUGUUCGGGUUGUCAUGCCAAUGGCACUGCCCGGUAGCUAAAUGCGGAAGAGAUAAGUGCUGAAAGCAUCUAAGCACGAAACUUGCCCCGAGAUGAGUUCUCCCUGACUCCUUGAGAGUCCUGAAGGAACGUUGAAGACGACGACGUUGAUAGGCCGGGUGUGUAAGCGCAGCGAUGCGUUGAGCUAACCGGUACUAAUGAACCGUGAGGCUUAACCUU
rnacentral:rRNA from 1 species